rnacentral:rRNA from 1 species
GAGUAAUAUACAAGAAUUUGCCCAGUAGUGGGGAAUAACAAUUAGAAAUAGUUGCUAAUACCGCAUAAGCCCGAGAGGGGAAAGGUUUUAAUCGCUAUUGGAGAAGCUUGUAUCCGAUUAGUUUGUUGGUGGGGUAAAUGCCUACCAAGGCUAAGAUCGGUAGCCGGUCUGAGAGGAUGAUCGGCCACAUUGGGACUGAGACACGGCCCAAACUCCUACGGGAGGCAGCAGUAGGGAAUAUUGGACAAUGGGCGAAAGCCUGAUCCAGCAAUGCCGCGUGAGUGAUGAAGGUGUAAUGCAUUGUAAAACUCUUUUAUUGGGGAAGAUAAUGACGGUACCCAAAGAAUAAGCACCGACUAACUAUGUGCCAGCAGUCGCGGUAAUACAUAGGGUGCGAGCGUUGCUCGGAAUCACUGGGCGUAAAGAACAUGUAGGAGGACUUUUAAGUCAUUAGUGCAAUCCCAAGGCUCAACCUUGGAACUGCUAAUGAUACUAUCAGUCUUGAGUAAGAUAGAGGACAGUAGAAUUCUUAGUGUAGGGGUUAAAUCCAUAGAUAUUAAGAGGAAUACCGAAAGCGAAAGCAGCUGUCUAGGUCUUUACUGACUCUAAAGUGUGAAAGCGUGGGGAUCAAACAGGAUUAGAUACCCUGGUAGUCCACGCCCUAAACGAUGAGUGCUAGGUGUCUGAAUUUCGAUUUGGGCGCUACAGCUAACGCGUUAAGCACUCCGCCUGGGAAUUACGGUCGCAAGACUAAAACUUAAACGGAAUUGACGGGGAUCCGCACAAGCGGUGGAGCAUGUGGUUUAAUUCGACUCUAAACGAAGAACCUUACCAGUUUUUGACAUGUUACCUUAAGUCUGACCAGAGAUGGCAGAUGUGAGCAAUCUAGGUAAUGCAGGUGAUGCAUGGCUGUCGUCAGCUCGUGCCGUGAGGUGUUUGGUUAAGUCCUUUAACGAGCGCAACCCUUAUCCAUAUUUGCCAGCGAGUUAUGUCGGGGACUAUAUGGAGACUGCCUGUGAUAAGCAGGAGGAAGGCGAGGAUGAUGUCAAGUCAUCAUGUCCCUUAUAGACUGGGCUACACACGUGCUACAAUGGCAACUACAACGAGUCGCAACACUGUGAAGUGAAGCUAAUCUCUUAAAAGUUGCCUCAGUUCAGAUUGCAGUCUGCAACUCGACUGCAUGAAGUUGGAAUCGCUAGUAAUCGUGAAUCAGAAUGUCGCGGUGAAUACGUUCUCGGAUCUUGUACACACU